rnacentral:rRNA from 1 species
UUUUAUGAGAGUUUGAUCCUGGCUCAGGACGAACGCUGGCGGCGUGCCUAAUACAUGCAAGUCGAACGCAUUUUCUUUCACCGUAGCUUGCUACACCGAAAGAAAAUGAGUGGCGAACGGGUGAGUAACACGUGGGUAACCUGCCCAUCAGCGGGGGAUAACACUUGGAAACAGGUGCUAAUACCGCAUAAUUUCAUUUACCGCAUGGUAGAUGGAUGAAAGGCGCUUUUGCGUCACUGAUGGAUGGACCCGCGGUGCAUUAGCUAGUUGGUGGGGUAACGGCCUA